CCUGCCUCUAAAAUGAGUCUCUCUGGGGAGAGAGAGGAGGGGGCCCCUGCCUCUAAAAUGUGUCUCUCUGGGGAACAUGACACCAAAGCUAAGAGAUGGCAGCACAUGACCACGAAGCAUCAGUUAUAGGCUACAAGCAGCAAUAUGAUGGACCAUGAAGCAUCAGUUAUAGACUACAAGCAGCAAUAUGAUGGAC